AAGUCGUAACAAGGUUUCCGUAGGUGAACCUGCGGAAGGAUCAUUAAUGCAAAAGUGUGGAGUAUAAUCUUUUCGGCAACUCUUCGGAGCGGCCCAAAAGGCGAUACAAAACAAACUAAUCCCCAAACGCUCGACUUUUUCUGGAAACAAAAAAAGCUUCGACGUCACAAGUAACCUGAGACGUUUUUUCUUUGUCGGCUGCAGACGAUAAAAGGAAAGAUUGUUCUCUAUUUUUUUACACCAUAAUUACCCUUAUUCUAUAAACUAUUUAGACUGAUAUAACAACAUUUACUUUGUUAAAUGUUAAAAACAAAUUAUAAUACAACUCUUAGCAAUGGAUAUCUUGGUUCUC
rnacentral:misc_RNA from 1 species